CUCAAUUCGCCCAAGAGUGUUUCACCCAUCACGUAGAUAUUACAUCACAUCGGAGGAAAGAAUAAGCGGAAGCAAAUUACAAUAACUUAAUUUACAUUUAUUCAAUAUAUAGAGAGAGUAUUACUGUUAUUACAAUACCAGGGUACUUAAGAGUGCAUAUAGUAUUAUUAUUACAGACCCGGAAGGCAAAACACCCGCCCGCAUAAAAGAGUAUUGUUUUUAAAGUAGGAGGCCAACAUCCUCCCGUGACUGACUUCACUGUUGGGGCUCAUCCUUAGGUACCACCUUUGAACAAAAACAGCAAAAGUCUGCAGUUUCCUCACCUACAACAACAUGGGUUCAAAAACCCUGAGUAUGGAGUGUACUUUCGCAGGUCUUACCCGACCAAAAGAAUAAACUCUCAAGGAUAUGCUGGCUUGAGGGAGUCAAGGUAAGGCUAUUCAAGAAUCAACGACUCUGUUUGCAGAAAUACUUACUAAUAGUGGAUCCUUAAAAUCCAAUUUUAUUAUCAAGUUGAGUUAUUACUUGCAACUAGAGUUCUUUCUACCCAAGUUCAAGCACUUGGCCUAUACUAGUCGUCUUUUAUCACCCCUUUCAGUUUGCUGGAAUGCUACGUGUAGGGCAGUGACCAAGUCUUCAUAUCCGAGUAGUAAUGGUGAUCCAAAUCAAUUAAUAUCCAGCUGGGGAUCUCCAAUCACACGACAUAUGUAGCACUUAACCCUUGCAUAUGUCAACUCGCCACCGGGUAUCUUAAGACCAGACCGGGUUCACGCGAACCGAGAGCACAGAUACACCACCGUCCAGCCUCUUGCCACGGAGGGUACACGCUACUCUCUCCAUCUCUCGCAUGUUGGCCUUUCUGGUAUUAGUCUGCCCGAGGCAAAGCUUACCCAUGAUGAGGCAUGUGACCAGUUAAAAGGUCCUCAAUCAUCAAGCCUACAUCGACACGGUCCUUAAUCAACUCAGACGGAGACACUACACCGAGACUCUCUUCUUGUGCAAGUCACCCGCCUGGUCUCAUCUUUAUCAUUUAAAACCCAAAGAUUGGUACCUGUCAGAGGUACAUCUUUUCCAAUGUUGAACCCAUCACGACCGUGAUGGAUCCACCAUCAAGAUUUAUUUUUGAAAACAUCCCAUUCCAUCUUAAGCAUCAUCUUUUAUUAAAAACAAAACAUUUUUGUUUUCUAAAGCAGGACUAAGCAUCAGAAAACCUUUUAAUAAAACAAGUAAUCAAGGAAUGGUAAACAGUUCCAAGGAAGGAAAUGCAGCAAUUUGGUUUUAAUACUCAAUUCAUAUCACCUAAUGCAUCAUUCAAGUGAUAAAAGUUUAAAACAGCAAGGAGGUGGCAAAUGCACUGGGGUUUGCCUUGUGUUGUAGGGGAGUCGGGAUCUGUUCCACAGAUAUCAAAAUAAAAGCAAUUCCCGGCAGGUGCAUUUUUAGCUGGUGGUGCAGUCUUUUCUUCUUCAACACUUACUUCUUCUUUGUUUUAUAUACAUAACCAUACAUAUACAUGAAUGCUCAUGUGAUGCUAUGAAUAUGAAAUUGUAAUAGAAAUACAUCAAGUUAUAUUUUGAAUUCAACUUUCCUUCACGAUACAUCUAAGUAACUAGGAUUUUCUAAAUCAACACCCUAGUGGGGUUAGGCAGUACUAUUUCAAGAAGCUAGGGUUUUGGGGUUUGGGGUCAAACAAUGUUCAAAGCAUACCAAACUUUACCCAAAGGCUCUAAUUAUUAUAUUAAGUUGUCCUGAAAAGUUUUAUGAUUUUUGGGGUUAUUUAGUAAUUUCUAAAAUUCCAAAAGUAUAGGUUUAGGCUUUCUUAAAUACUACAUAAUUUCUGGUUUGGACUAAAAAUCUUGGAACUAUUUUUAUUAAUUACUAGAGGAAUUUAGGAGUCUAGUAAAAUUGGUCUCAUAUUUUUACCAUUUUUCUAGAAUUUUUUAUAAAUUCCCUAAGCCUGGUAGAAAAAGAAAAAGAGAAAAAAUGAAUAGUAACGGGCUGAAACCAGCCCGAUACGGCGAUACGGCCCACGCCCAAGCGAAACGCGCCGCGCGCAUGCCCGCGGUGUCCUCUUUGCACAGAGGCCCCUGGCCAUUUGAAAAACCCAUAAAGAAUCCUUUCCACUAUUCACAUGUGUCUCUGACAAUUCCACCGAGGCCCCUCCCUUUCUGUUUCUUCGCAAGGUGAGAUCCCCGACCAUGGACGGUGGAGCAGUGGCUCCGGCGAGCUUAUACUGGCUGGAAAACGCAACGACUAGGCCCCUCCGUUGCUUAACACCUAAUUCCACCCUCGACGACACUAAUCCCUCAACCAAUUGCGAAGUUCUAGCUCAAAAUCUCUCUGUCCACGGUGAUGGCGCAAAUUGAGGACAACCCGAGGUGUCCUGACGAUCUAACAUGGUCUAGUUCAAUUGGCUAGACUGAUAAGCAUUCAUAGCACACAAGGAUGUUGAAACGAGGGCAAGGAGGGUAUGAACGGACCUGUAGACGUCUGGCCACGGCGAGCUCACUCACGACGGCACGAAGAACUGAAUUGGGGGAAAUGAGAAAUUGAGGGGCUCUGGUGGAUGAUCUGAGGCACGAGCGGGUGCAUUGGCUUCGUGACAACCUAACAGAGCCAGUGGCACCCCCAAUUUAUAGUGUCCAAGAGCGGUGGUGGAUAAUUUUGAGAUGGCACGCUGGCGACCGGAGAGAGGGGAAGUCACUGGCGUAGGUGAUACCGUGGCUUUCACUGUGGCAAGGCCACCGGUGAUGGAUAGGCUUGCUACAAGGGUUCACUGCGACGUGUUUAAACCUCCCACGUGGUGCACGAUCAGUAAGCGGCCAACGCUAGUGAAGAUCAUUUUGGCUGGCCACAGACCAAGUGGGUAUGGCGAGCUCAACAGUGACCGAGUCCGAGCCAAUCCGGGCGCUAAGAUCUUUUACUCCCCUCAGUUAUCCACUUGCGCUGAGCACGAAUCGCGGUGACCGGCGAGAAUCCGGGCACGAGACCACCAGCGACGAGGGGCGAUGAAUCUGGGGAUCUUUUUCAGCUACUGUACAAUGGAAACCUCAUUCAGAGCACCUGACUGAGCAUAAUUGGGGGCGAUUUGCUCCAAAAUUUGUGUAGCAACUUGAUCAUCCAUCUGUAUCAAAGUUGUUGAGCUACAAUCCAUCUUCAAUUUUGUUAUAGCAUCCCCAAUCAAAUUCUCAUUGGACCCUGCUCAAAUUUGAUCCCAAAGUUCAGCCAAUAUCACUGGUGGCCAUAUUUCAGUUCAAGAGCUGACUGACAGCCCGACUUUAAGUCCUUUUAUCAUCAAUUUUUGUACAAUACCAAUACUUAGUAACUUAAUCAAACUUGUACUCCUAACAUAGAUCUACAAGUUUUCUAUAUUAACUUAGGUUAAAACUUUGGUAGAUUUAAUGAUAUAGAGCCCCAAAGUUGACCCCAUUGUUCUGAAAUUCAGACUUAACCUUAUUAAGCUUCAUGGGGUGAUUUUGCAAAGAAGUCCAAAUUCUUUCAUACUACUUGAAAAUUCUGCAAUGUGAAAGUUACUUGGUUGGUGAUGUUUUAUCACUUUGUUCUUUGCACUUUGAUCCAAAAGUGCCUAGAAUUUACAAUUACCCCCCUAGGGUUUCAAUUAGGGUUUCUAGGGUUCUCUUUAGGGUUUUUAGUACUUUAGGGUUUUUGUGCCACUCAAAUCUAUCAACUUUGAUGUCUUGUGAACAUUCCUAAUCCUGUUGUUCAUUGCCUUCUUCACUAACUUCUUCACCCUCAACUAGCACCUCAUCCUAGUUUUCGGGUUCAUCGGGUUUAGCUUCUACUUCCACGUGAUUGACUUGACCCCAAUUGAUAGAUAAGGACUGACUCUUGCCUCCCGAUGCCUGACCUUGCUUCAUCGGAGCUGGGUAGUAUAAGCAGCCCUGUUGGGACAGUAGUUGGCAUAGUGUCCAAACUGUCCACACUUGAAGCAUGACAUAUUUGUGGAUGUAUUAGGAGCAACAAGUCCCGCUGGGGUGCUUGCUUGAGGAGGAGCAGUUUGUGUCUGUUGAGUUUGUUGCCCGAAACUGUCACAAGCAGGUGUACUUUGAGUAGUAGUAUAACAGGGACAAGAACUACUUCCAACAUGUCCCUAGUUAAUAGCCCUUCUCUUUUCUCCAAGUUCAACCCUCUUGUUUUCCAAAGCAAUAACUUUGUCGAGUAGUCUUUGGAAGGAUGGGAAUGUGUGUGAUAUCAGUUGGUAUUGUAGCGGUCCAAUCAAACUUUCCAGAAAGAGCUCUCGCUUCUUCUCAUCGUCACCAACUUCACCAGGAGCAUAUCGAGAUAGCUGGAUGAACUUAUCUCUGUAUUUGCUUACUGACAUCCCUCCCUGUUUGAGGGAUAGAAACUCCUUUUUAAUCUUCAUAAGGCCAACAGGAAUAUGGUAAUUCCAGAAUUGAGUGGAGAAUUCUGCCCAGGUGAUGGUGUUAGCAGUAGCAUGAGCAGCGCAAUAUGCAUCCCACUAAUCCGCAGUUGGGCCGGUGAGGCGACCCGAUGCAUAUAGCACCUUCUCUCUGUCAGAGCACUGAGCUAUGUUGAGCAUCAUGUCCACGGACUUUAACCAGUCAUCAGCUUGUAGUGGGUCCGAGGAGUUAGAAAAUGUAGGUGGCUUGUGACUCGUAAACUACCGGUGCUUAUCCCUGGGCGGAGCUGGUGGUGGUGGAGGUAGUCGUUGUUGUUCCUGUCGUACUUGGUGCAUUUCUUGGCGUUCUUGCCUCAUUUCCUGUCGUAUUUCCUAUCGUUCUUGACGCAUCUCCUGACAUUCUUUCCAUAUUUGCUCUUGCAUUUCCAUCAUGGUGUUUGCCAUUUGCUGCAGCAGUUGCAUCUGAGCGGCCGCAACGAGAUUAGUUCCAGCUGGUGGAGGGUUCGGUGGAGGACUCAUCUCUGGUUGUGGUUGGUUAACAAUCCUCCUGCGAUGAUUGUUAGCAGGCAGAUUGAUACUACCUCCCUUCCUGGUAUUGACCAUCUGGUUAGAAAUAUAUGGUAAGAUAGUUUUUGCAAGGGAAAUUAUUUAGUAGGAAAAUGGAUAGACUAGUAGCUGGUCAUAAACUGAAGGAUCUUGGGCAGGGCUUUGAUCUGUCGUUUUAUGUCUAUAUUGGGGACAACUAGACUUAUAAGGUAAAUCUUUAAAGGUAAGAUAGAAUCUGCCAAGAUAAGAUAGAUGUGUGACACUAGAUACAUUUUAAUGGGGAUAAUCUAAGUUGUCUAGUUGUUUUAUAAAUAUUCUCCUUUAUGCCUAGAUGUAUAUGCAGAUGCAAUUGUGGACAUUACUCCACAACUCAUCACACUCAAUCAAAGAUCCAAAUCAAACAAGUAUCUUAAGAACAAACAUUGAAGCACAUAGAUACCUAUAAAAAUAGUUUUGUUUUUGUUCCUAAGAUUAGGUCUUCUGUUCCUAAAGGUCACUUUAGGUACAGGAUUUCAAAAUGUGAAAUCCACAUUUGUCUUUAGAAGUGAAAAGGUAAGAGUAACCAGAGUAAGGUGGCAAUAGAUGAGAGCAGAUUAAGAAAAGUUUAGAAAGAAUCGGAGUAGCAAAAGUAGGUAGGUAAGGCUUGUCCAAUUCUAUCUAGGUUACGUACUACAGUCAACGUCCCUCUGAUACUACUUCUGUCACACCCGGGUAUCAGGGGCACCAAAACCCGGGCAUGAGAUAAUCACCAAGUGUGCUGGGACCAAGUCUCACACAUAUGAUGACUCAUGGUACAGAAACGAAUGUCACAUCAUUUAUAUAUAACGGAGUUCUGUACAAAAUAGUUAAAUAAUUACAUCAUAUGAAGACAACGAUCCAGCAACCAUAGUUGACUGGGAGACGAUGGCCUAGACCUCUCACGAUCUCAUCGUAGCAUCCUCCUUGCGCCUCAUCCAGUGGUACCUAUCCUUGACUUGGGGGAUGUGAGUACAGCAAGGGUGAGCUCACAUACGUUCAUCGCUCAACAAGUUGUGGGGAAUAAUGUGCAUGAACUCACCAAAGGUGGGAGCUCAUGUGAAGUGAAAGGCUUACCAAAGAGGAUGAUUAAAGUUGAGCAUUGCUUUUAAAGUUGGUCAAACUUUUAUUAGCAGAUACUAGGUAUAAGUAGAUACCAACCAAAUUAAAUAAGAGAUCAAGAUUAAUAACAACACCCACAAUGCAAUGCAAAUGACAAAUUGAGUUUAAUUCCAUAAGUUAAUCAUGUGAGGGUCCGAGCCGCUCAUGACCGUUAGCACGACUGAUAUACCAGUUUUACACUCUGCAGAGGUUGCGCAUCUUUACCCACAAGUCGUGUUACCCAUUUUCCACGUAGUUCAUCAGACCCCAUACACCUCUACCAAGGAAGCGAGGCAGGGUACCACUACGAGGCCUUUGCAAAGUUCCACUAGCUUCAGAAAACCCGCUAUAAUUUCUAGGGAGCGCAGCAUAGGAAUCCCCCGUCUGAAAAGCCAUUGCAGCAAAAUUAGCCCAAGAACCUCCCUAUACCGACCACUCCCCUAGUUCCCUUGCCCCUUUCGGGUCAGGUAGUCUCCACUAGCUUUCCUAAUUAGUCAGCCAAGGGCGUCCCAUACCACCCUUGUGGUAGCACUGUUUUCCCGGGUGGUCGCUACAUGUUCCAAUUAACAAUAUGAUAUUAUCAUGAACAAUAAUUAAACAACAACAUAAUUGGAACAUGAUCAAAAUAAAACAUUAGUUUCCCAAAACCAAGUAAAGCAAUAGCAAAACUACCCAAUAAUGCUUCUGUUUGCAAGGUAGGAAAAAACAAUGCUAGGGAAACCUAUUAGGUCCCAUCAAAUUAACCUGAACAUGUCACAGUGAUUAAUAGGAACAUUAUUAGGUAAAAAGGAGUGAUCAACGGCACAACUUGCCCGGGACUCGAAAUUCUAGGUACCAGGAUGAUCUUCAGAUUCUCGUGACCUCACUGCUAUUCGUAGCAAUACAAACAAACAUGGUAUAGGCAAAAUUAACAUCACAUCAAACAUUAGCACAAACUGCAUAAUAAUAUUCUACGAGUCGUAACGAAAUCGUGGGUUUGAGAACCACUAAGUUUGAAGAUUUACGUGUUUAAUAUAGAAUACGCUAAGUGCAUAAUUUGAAUCUAUGUUUCAUAAAAAACUAAGGUUACAAGAUGAUAAACAAUAUUAUUAUGAAUUUAAUGCAACUAGAAUGGAUCAAUUUGGAGUUAAAAUGAAUUAAAUAUGAAUUAAACAAGUUUCUAGCAUUAUUUUUAUACUAAAAACCCAUUUUCUAUAUUAAUUUCCUCCCUUUAUUCGAUGUAUGGACUAGGGACAUUAUUUCUUUGAACUACAGGGUGCUCUGUAUAAAUUCCGGGAACUGCUUUAUAUUUCUUUUACAGGUAUAAGGACGACGGGUUGUUAAUCGAGAAGCCUAGAGGGUUUUAUGAUAAUCUGCCACGGCAGUAUCACACGCAUCGCACUCGAUCCCUCGGAUCAAACAUCAACGGUCAGGAUCAGAUUACAUAAACAACGAACCGGUACGCAAUCCAGGGUCAUCGGAUCCUGAUCCAACGAAUCACAAUGGAUCCUGAACUACAUGAGCUCCCAACCACCCGAUCAAAGAUCUACGGCGACACGGAUCCUGGCUGAAACAUUAUUCUACCCUCUAAUCAGAGUCGUCCAUCGCUGGAUCCACGACCACACUCCCCUUCCUCAUCCUGUCAUGACCAGAGCAGUGGUGCUGCCGCCCCAUACGGCGGCGAGUUCGCCGGACUGCCUCCCCAUUCUAGCAGUAGGUCAUAACUCGUGCGUGAACUCAAGAUAAACAGAGAGGGAUCUUCGUGAGCUUGAUAGAAGAGACCAUACCGACGGUAAGGAGGCUGAAGCGAGUUGUUCACAGAGUGGGGCGACUUCGCGGUGGCGCGACAAUUACGGCCAGAAAUACGCACCGCACCAGGGUUCUACACGUGGAAUUGGCGAUGCCCGAAGCUCACACAAGUCCCGACAAGGCGCCCGGACCGCCUUCUUGGCCCUUGGCGACAACGCCGGCGAGACACGCGUUUGACGGCACCCGACGCUCUCUCUCUUCCCGGUCCCAGCAAUGGCAGCUGGAUGAUCCCCG
rnacentral:lncRNA from 1 species